rnacentral:rRNA from 1 species
UUCUUUUAUCUGAGAGCAAAGAUUAGUAUUAAAUAGAUAUUAAUUAUGAGAGUAUCAGAGGAAUAAGCACCGGCUAACUACGUGC